GAUGAACGCUGGCGGCGUGCCUAAUACAUGCAAGUCGAGCGAACAGACGAGGAGCUUGCUCCUCUGACGUUAGCGGCGGACGGGUGAGUAACACGUGGAUAACCUACCUAUAAGACUGGUAUAACUUCGGGAAACCGGAGCUAAUACCGGAUAAUAUAUUGAACCGCAUGGUUCAAUAGUGAAAGACGGUUUUGCUGUCACUUCUAGAUGGAUCCGCGCCGCAUUAGCUAGUUGGUAAGGUAACGGCUUACCAAGGCAACGAUGCGUAGACGACCUGAGAGGGUGAUCGGCCACACUGGAACGGAGACACGGUCCAUACUCCUACGGGAGGCAGCAGUAGGGAAUCUUCCGCAAUGGGCGAAAGCAUGACGGAGCAACGCCGCGUGAGUGAUGAAGGUCUUCGGAUCGUAAAACUCUGUUAUGAGGGAAGAACAAAUGUGUAAGUAACUAUGCACGUCUUGACGGUACCUAAUCAGAAAGCCACGGCUAACUACGUG
rnacentral:rRNA from 1 species